rnacentral:misc_RNA from 1 species
GAUGAAGAACGGAGCGAAAUGCGAUAAGUAGUGUGAAUUGCAGAAUUCAGUGAAUCAUCGAAUCUUUGAACGCACAUUGCGCCCUUUGGUAUUCCUUAGGGCAUGCCUGUUCGAGCGUCAUUUAAACCUUCAAGCUAAGCUUGGUGUUGGGUGACUGUCCGCUUCACGGCGGACUCGCCUCAAAAUUAUUGGCGGCCGGUACAUUGGCUUCGAGCGCAGCAGAAACGCGAACUCGGGCCCGUCGUAUUGGCUCCCAGAAGCUAUCUUCACAAUUUUGACCUCGGAUCAGGUAGGGAUACCCGCUGAACUUAAGCAUAUCAAUAAGCGGAGGA